rnacentral:rRNA from 1 species
UACGUAGGGGGCAAGCGUUGUCCGGAAUUAUUGGGCGUAAAGAGCUCGUAGGCGGCUUAGUAAGUCGGCGGUGAAAUACCGAGGCUCAACCUCGGCACUGCCGUCGAUACUGCUAUGGCUAGAGUUUGGUAGAGGAGAACGGAAUUCCCGGUGUAGCGGUGGAAUGCGCAGAUAUCGGGAGGAACACCAGUGGCGAAGGCGAACUUUCUGGCUUAGUAACUGACGCUGAGGCGCGAAAAGCGUGGGGAGCAAACAGGG